CCCAGUGGGUGCAGGAGGUGGAAGGAGCAGGAGCUCCCUCGAGGGCUCGGAUCAGGAUGGGGUUGACCUGGUGGACUCCAUCAGCCCUGAGCAG